UCAUGGUGAGGGUGGACACUGAGAAGCACGUCGACUUCUCUCUCACCAGCCCCCUGGGUGGUGGCCAACCUGGAAGAGUGAAGCGGAAGAACCAGAAGAAGGCCUCAGGUGGUGGUGGUGAUGACGGCGAGGAGGAGGAAGACUAAGCGCCCAGCCUCACCCGCAUAACUUUCGUUGCAGAAAUGUUGAGAUUGCCUUGUGGAACUCGGAAAUGAUUCAAACUUUCCUUCUUAGAAACUUAGUGGUGUAGAGCUUUCGUUGGUUCAGAAUCUUUUGGCUGUCGGUUCUAAAAUUAAACUUAUGUGUGUCGGUUUUGCUUGGUUAGUGACCACCGAGCAGAAGUGAACUCUUGAGGCUGCUUCGUUUUUUGUGAACCAAACGUAUCUUGUUUAUCGAUUUGACAAGCCUGGUUCUGAGUUAUUUUACUCUGCAUGAAAUGUUACUGUUGUCCUUACUAUUUUUCUCUUUUGUCUGAUCGGUUAGGCUGGUGACAAUUUCGAGUGUGUCGACCGAAUGAUACUCUUUCCCUGUCUAUAAUUACAAUUGUAGUAUUAGUAACUAAUCGUAAUGGGAAUGAGAAAUUUGUAGAAAUGCCGUAAUUUUAUCGAGAAACAUCACCGUCUUUGGAUAUCAGCCGAAACAUUCCUAUGAUACAUUCUUUGGAUAUUUGGGAUACAACCUUAGUGAUUCUUACCUCAGCAGCCCCGUUAGCUGAUUGCCGAUUCCAGCUUACCUCGUGUCAUUCCUUGCUAGCCAAAGAGCGUAUAAACCCUGGAUUAUCGUCGACCUCUUCCUCCGUGGCUUCUGCGGAUCAUGGCAUCAUCCAUCUCACUCUGAGAGCCUGCUGAAACAGGUGGCACCAUCCCCGGAGCUCCCAAUUCUGAGCACAAAUAUCUCCAAAAAGGUAUCGAGUGAGGACAUUGCCCAAAACCUGUGAUAUAAUGUCUCUCCCUACCACAUGUGGCGCAAUACACACCCGCCUUGAUCUGUCGACGACGAAGCUCACCCCCAACAGCGAGGCCAUUGCGCAUUAGCGGCCAUGUAUGUAUUCUUCUUUUUCUUUAUUUGGUCUAUCCCAUGGUGCAAGCCAUCCUUUGUGGUUGACAACGGUCGAAAAAGGUUUCUGUCAUCCGGUCUCAUGCGAUUCUUUGUCAUGGGCAAUUGGGCAGGUUAUCAGAAUUGCUAUUCUAUUAUAUGAUUUUACGACUUUACAAUCCAUACUAACUUCUUUGAUUCUACGAUUUUGGUUAGUAGAAUCUACGUUUUUAUGAUUCUGAUAGUUAAGAUUGUAUAAUUUGUGAUUCUACCAUCAGAGCUUCGAUCCGAUUCAGAAUUACAAUUAUGACAACCUUGGUUGACUUAACUGUGCACCGUCCUAAAAAUAAUAAUUAGAAAACAUAAUCGCCUUCAACAUCGACCUUACCAACAGAGGGCAAAAAGGGCCUCCCUUUCGAUUUGGAAAGAGCACCCCGAGAAUAAUAUUGAGCCGUUCUUCAAAUUCAAAGGUGAAUGCCGAUGCAACAAUAUAGGAUUAACGAAGAACCUCAAAGCAAGUUUGCGUUCACCACAAAACGUCAUAUCUGAUUUGGCCAAACAUAGAUCCACAAUUGUUUUCCCUUUCAUCUCCAUGACCCUAAAAGAGGUGAGGAACAAGGCCAUCAUAAGCCUGAUCCAGCCGUACGACAAGUUUACUAGGGGUCCCAUCGGGUCCACCACUUGCAAUCACAUAUUUCUCCAUAGAAAAUAACUAAGCUAAGGGGCGUGCGCCUUGAAACACCGCUAGAGAGCGCCGGAGUGAAACCCCACAACAACAUAGCGCCACAAAUGGUGAGGCCAUCGGAGGAGGAAGGGAGGGGUGCCGGAGCACCCUCAACGACUCCCAAGGAGGAGAGAUAAAGGGAAGGGGAAUAAGCCUACUUUCCUGUUUCCGAACCUAUCAUCGCUUAUUACUUGCCUUGUUUCUACAAUAAUCAUUGCUUAACUCAUGUUAGAUGAUAGAUUAGAGCAUGGUCAAUAAUGUAGCCGGUUGGUGGCUAUAGAGAGGGAACUGGAUCCUCUAACAUUAAGAAGGAAAGUUAGAGAAGCUACAAUUAGAUGCCAAGCCAUGUAAAGUUUUUAUGAAAAAAUAUUCAUAGAAUAGGUUCGCUCUUAGAUAGGCUCCAAGUACUCCCUCCGGUCCUUUUUAGUUCGCAUAUAAGAUUUGACUGAAGUCAAGCCUCAUAAAGUUUGACCAACUUUAUAGAAAAAAGUACUAACAUUCACAAUCUGAAAUCAAUAUUAAUAGAUGUGUCAUGAUUUAAAGUUUCAUAUUGUAUAACUUUAGCAUGUCAGAUGUUGAUAUUUUUUCAUAUAAGUACGGUCAAUUUUUGUGAAUUUUGACUUCAAAGAAUUUUAAUAUGCAGAGUAAAAAGGACUGGAGGGAGUAUUUAGUAUUUUCAUGAACAAUGCAUAAGAUUGGAAGUGAACUAUAUGCAUACUACUUUUUCCCGAUCCAUGUGCCAUAGCAGAGAAUAAGAGGCCACUCCAGACUCUAUCAUUUCUUCUCACUCUUCCAAAUAAGAUUUUAUGGAAUGAAAAGUCUUGUAGCCUACUGAUUAGGCUUUAUUAGACUUGCUUUUAGAGCAUGGUUAAUAGUAUAAUCAAACUGCUGGCUAUAUGAUCUUGUCACAUCAUCUGUAGUCGAGCUUAUAGCCGGCAAGUACAAUAAUUGCGUGUAAAUAUGUACUACUUUAUUGAUACAUGGUCUAUCUCUCACUCUCAUAAAGAAUCUAGGAGCACAUGCUACAACCGGUUAUUAAUAAGUAGUUCGCUUUUCUUCUCUCUCUUCUUCUCUCGUCUUUAUCUCAUAAAAAAUAUAUUUAAAGUCUUACAGCCCGCCUACAUCAUCUUAUUGUACUUGCUCUUAUCACAUUUAUCAUACUAAGAGCAUCUACAGUCAGACUUGGCAAAUCUGACCCCUCAAACACCUACGGAUGCGCCCGGGCGCGUCCGCAGACAGUGACCGAUCACGCCUCAAAUAAUCCAUUACACAACCGGAUACCUUAAAUUAGGAACCUCAAAUCCAUACUAUUACAUGCAACACAAACCUAAUCUUAAGCGAAGCCCGUCCAACUCCGCCGCUCCCAUGUCCGGCGGCUGGCUGCGCUCCCCAGAGUGUUUGUCCGUUCGUCGGCGAGUAGAGUAGGACAUGGGGCAGAAGCCGACUCACGAAACUCAAUGCGUCACCGUCUCCCAUGCUCUACACUUUCUCGUCGGAGCCCGGAACCCUGACGCUGUCAGUGGACGACAGAUCGAUGAUGGACCCAUCCUAGGAUGAGCCGACGACAUCCCCCAUGAUGCAGUUGCAGCACCCGGACUAGUGCACAGCAUGGGACACCGAAGAAUGCGACUUCGCCACGCCAACGUCCACUGCUGCCUCGCACGGCGGGCACGGCGGGCCAUGUUUGCGUCAGACGACGCCCAUGGUGCGUCAUGCUGCUCAGCCCUCCAACGGAGGGGCGCGUCCGCCACUGCUUUCGGACACCAGACGAACCGCACCGCCUCCGAUGAGGCAGCGAUGCCACAUGCCACGGCGGAUCCAUGCGUCAUUUGGGCGGACGCAAUGGAUUCCCGACAGAAGGAGUCCGAGAUCUGCCGUCGGGCGGCCUCCUCACGGGAGCGGCGGCGGAGCGCAAGGCGGACGGUCAUCUCCUCCUCGGGGCCACGUGGGAUGAGCUUAGACUCGACGGAUCUGGAGGUGUUGGGCUCGGAUCCGCUGGCUGCCAUGCCGAAGCAGUCCGGAGGGCGCGGAUAGGAGCUUCGAUGGCGGAUGGGAGUGGAAUAAAGUGGCUAGUGUUUGGUUCUAGAAGUGGGUGAAGAGGAAUAUACAUGGGGCUGGGUGGGUCAGCGUGGACCGGGUCCAAUGUGACGAACGCCCACAUAUCCAUCUCAGAUUUGGGCUGGAUAUGAGGGUUAGCCCGGACAUUUGUGCCCCGUUUGAAGCUUCCGUCUGAGUUGGUUUUUUGUGAUCGAUCACUAACUGGAUUGUCUGUUUGGACGUAUGAGACGGGUUUGAGGCGUCUAGCUGUAUAUGCUCUGAGCAGUGAGCUACGUAGUGCAUAGUUACCAUAUAAAUAAUAAAAAAUCAAGGAGUUUGGUUUAGUUAAUUAGCUCGUGGUUUGCGUGGAUAAGGACAUGUUUCGCUUGAAUCCACUGCACAGCCUGAACAGAUUCGCUACGAGGGUCACGCCUUUCGAUGGAAAGUGGAAGAAAUAUUGUUUGUUGCAGAAAGUGAUCUUUUAUUUUGUUAUUAUGCAGGAACAAUAAUGACAGUGCCAAAAAAAAUCUAAGAGCAUUUGGCUAACGUUUUAGAAGAUUCCUUGCAAAAAUAAAACUCGCAAAUAUAAUUUCUUUAACACAGUAUCGACAUAGACGCUUAUAUAUGCACGCAUACACUUAUUCUUAUUAUAACACACAUUCUACUCCUAUAAGCACCUUUAAAAAAUCGAGUCGGCAUAUUAUCUUGAGAUUGAGGAAGUCACUAAAGGCGCCUUGUAGUCAAUGGGAAUUUUUCCUCACACUAAAUGUGCAUAGCUGAAAGUACUGAAAUAAAUUCAAGAAUAAAUGUGAGCACCAGGCCAUGAACUUUGAUGGGUUGGGAAUACCACUUCCACAUAAGGGCAUAUCCAAUAGCAAUCCGUAAAUUUCCUCCCCUCAUCCGUCCGCAGACAUGGAUGCGAGAGGCCGCCGUCCAACCGUAGCCGCAUACACCCGGUUUUCUUUAUCUUUUUAAAUGCACACGAUCAAAUAGCCGCAUACAUAGGGUACAUACGUUCAAGUAGCCGCAUGCAGUAGUACUUCAAAAUUUAAAAAGUUCAAAUAUUACAUCCCAACAUUGUUUUCCCCUUUAACCGCCCAUUGAUACUCAAUCAGAUUUUCGUUCAGCUGCUCGCGAGUUCGUCAAUGCCGAAUUUGUUGAUGCAUUUAAAUAAACUCUUUAGAUAUGGCCGGAUUCUGGUCUGGAAGUUGGAUAGGAUCACCCAUGUUCUCAAAUUCUAGUGCCGCGGCAUCAUCGCCACCCUCAUCCUCAACGAACAUGUUGUGCAUGAUCACAGAACAUGUCAUGACCUCCCACAAGGCCUCCGGGUCCCAUUGUUUAGCAGGUCCACGAACAAUCGCAAAAUGGACCUGCAGAACUCCAAAUGCUCUCUCGGCAUCCUUUCUAGCUGCUUCUUGUGUUUGGGAAAAAUGAACCUUUUUCUGGCCAACUAGGUUAGAGAUGGUACUGACAAAAGUAGCCCACGGUGGGUAGAUACAAUCAACCAGAUAGUAUCCUAUAUUGUACUCAUGCUCAUUGAAAAUAUAGUAGCAAGGAAGAACUUUUCCUUCAAUCAGCCUCGCGAACAACGAUGAUCACUGCAGCACAUUGAUGUCAUUGUUCGACCUGGAAUGCCAAAAAAAGCAUGCCAAAUCCAAAGAUUUUGUGAUGGAACUGCUUCAAGAAUUAUGGUGGGCUUCUUAACACGACCCUGAUAUUUCCCUUGUAAAGCCUUCAGAUAGUUCUUCCAUUUUCAAUGCAUGCAGUCAAGAGAUACAAGCAAACCCGGCCACCCUCCUGCUUCUCAGAUUGCUAAGAGCCUCUCGAUGUCUGCCAGAGGUUGAUAGAGGCAAGGGUGUCCCAAUCUUUCGAUGAGAUGAUAACUAUCGAUUUGGUGGAGACGACUUUGACGAUCCGACUACAAACAUGCAAGACGUCGCGCCUUAGCAAUCGCUAAAUGAUACGUCUCCAACGUAUCUACUUUUCCAAACACUGUUGCCCUUCUUUUGGACUCUAACUUGCAUGAUUUGAAUGGAACUAACCCGGACUGACGCUGUUUUUAGCAGAAUUACCAUGGUGUUAUUUAUGUGCAGGAGCAAACGUUCUCGGAAUGACCUGAAACUUCAUGGAGCCACUUUUCAGAAAAUAAGAAAAAUACCUGCAAAAGAUGAAGCCAGGGGCCCACCACCUUGCCACGAGGGUGGAGGGGCGCGCCUGCCCCCUAGGGCGCGCCCCCUACCUCGUGGCCCCCCUGUUGCGUCUUCGACUCCAACUCCUACUCCAUAUAUUGAGUUUCGGGGAGAAAAAAUCAGAGAGAAGAAAUCAUCGCAUUUUACGAUACGGAGCCGUCGCCAAGCCCUAAAACCUCUCGGGAGGGCUGAUCUGGAGUCCGUUCGGGGCUCCGAAGAGGGGAAUCCGUCGCCAUCGUCAUCAUCAACCAUCCUCCAUCACCAAUUUCAUGAUGCUCACCGCCGUGCGUGAGUAAUUCCAUCGUAGGCUUGCUGGACGGUGAUGGGUUGGAUGGGAUCUAUCAUGUAAUCGAGUUAGUUUUGUUAGGAUUUGAUCCCUAGUAUCCACUAUGUUCUGAGAUUGAUGUUGCUAUGACUUUGCUAUGCUUAAUGCUUGUCAGUAGGGCCCGAGUGCCAUGAUUUCAGAUCUGAACCUAUUAUGUUUUCAUCAAUAUAUGAGUGUUCUUGAUCCUAUCUUGCAAGUCUAUAGUCACCUAUUAUGUGUUAUGAUCCGUUAACCCCGAAGUGACAAUAAUCGGGAUACUUACCGGUGAUGACCGUAGUUUGAGGAGUUCAUGUAUUCACUAUGUGUUAAUGCUUUGUUCCGGUACUCUAUUAAAAGGAGGCCUUAAUAUCCCUUAGUUUCCGUAAGGACCCUGCUGCCACGGGAGGGUAGGACAAAAGAUGUCAUGCAAGUUCUUUUCCAUAAGCACGUAUGACUAUAUUCGGAAUACAUGCCUACAUUAUAUCAAUGAACUGGAGCUAGUUUUGUGUCACCCUAGGUUAUGACUGUUACAUGAUGAACCGCAUCCGGCAUAAUUCUCCAUCACUGAUCCAUUGCCUACGAGCUUUCCAUAUAUUGUUCUUCGCUUAUUUACUUUCCCGUUGCUAUUGCUAUCAUCACUACAAAAUACCAAAAACAUUACUUUUACUACUGUUACCUUUUGCUACCGUUACCACUACUAUCAUAUUACUUUGCUACUAAACACUUUGCUGCAGAUAUUAAGUUUCCAGGUGUGGUUGAAUUGACAACUCAGCUGCUAAUGCUUGAGAAUAUUAUUUGGCUCCCCUUGUGUCGAAUCAACAAAUUUGGGUUGAAUACUCUACCCUCGAAAACUGUUGCGAUCCCCUAUACUUGUGGGUUAUCAAGACUAUUUUCUGGCGCCGUUGCCGGGGAGCAUAGCUCUAUUCUUUGAGUCACUUGGGAUAUAUAUCUGCUUAUCAUUAUGAAAAACUUGAGAGAUCCAAAAACCAAGAUCUAUCCCUCAACUACGAGGGGAGGUAAGGAACUGCCAUCUAGCUCUGCACUUGAUUCACCUUUUGUUAUGAGUAAGUUUGCGACACCUACACCUGCUUCUGCCAUUCGUUCUGACAUGUGGCAUGUUAUUGAUGAUGCCACUUCUGCUAUGCAUGAUACUUAUGAUGAAACUACCUCUAUGUCUGAUACUACUGUGCCACUUAGUGAUUUCCAUGAUGAACAAAUUGCUAGAGCUAGAGAAAUUGAAAAUAUUGAAUCUGAUGAUACUGAUGAAAGUGAUGAUGAAGAAUCACUUGUUAUUCCUAAGGGUUAUGUUUUUGAUCAAGAAGCUUCUUUCGCUAUCUUGGCUUGUGAAAAUAGAAAUGAACUAAAAGGUUAUUAACUAAAUGGAGUAAGCAAUCUCUAAGUGCUAGAAUGAAACCUGAUCCUGGUUUUGCUACUUCACCUAUCUGUGUUACUGAUAAGGAUUAUGAAUUCUCUGUUGAUCCUGAUAUAAUUACUUUAGUUGAAUCUGAUCAUUUUCAUGGUUAUGAAUCUGAAACAGUUGUGGCACAUCUUACUAAAUUGAAUGAUAUAGCUACCCUGUGUACUAAAGAUGAGAGAACUCGUUACUUUUAUAUCCUUAAAAUAUUUCCGUUCUCAUUAAAGGGUGAUGCUAAGAUAUGAUUUAAUUCUCUUGAUCCUGGUUGUGUGCGUAGUCCCUAGGAUAUGAUUUAUUACUUCUUUGCUAAGUAUUUCCCUGCUCAUAGGAAACAAGCUGAUUUAAGAUAUAUAUAUAUAUAUAUAUAUAUAUAUAUAUAUACAUAUAUAUAUAUAUAAUUUUGUGCAAAUUGAAGAAGAGAGUCUCCCACAAGCUUGGGAGAGGCUUCUCCAAUUACUUAAUGCUUUGCCUGAUCAUCCUCUUAAGAAAAAUGAAAUACUUGAUAUCUUUUAUAAUGGACUAACUGAUGCCUCCAGAGAUUACCUGGAUAGUUGUGCUGGUUCUGUUUUCAGGGAAAGAACACCGGAUGAAGCUGAAAUUCUAUUGAACAAUAUGUUAACAAAUGAAAAUAAUUGGACACCUCCGGAGCCAAUUCUUGAGCCUAUUCCUAAACCAACUCCGAAGAAGAGGGGUAUUCUAUUUCUCAGUCCUGAAAGAUAUGCAAGAGGCAAAGAAAUCUAUGAAAGAAAAGGGUAUUAAAGCUGAAGAUGUUAAGAAUUUACCUCCUAUUGAAGAAAAACAUGGUCUUAAUUUACCGCCUGUUGAAGAAACAUAUAAUCCAAAUCCUUCUCCUAUUGAAGAAACUCAUGAUCUUGAUAACCCGACACAGGUAGUAAAGGUAAAUUCUCUCUACAGAUAUGAUAAAGUUGAAAUCCCAUUUACUAAAUUUGCUAGCCCAUGCUUAGAUGAGUUUGAUAAAUUUAUGGCUAAGCAAGAAGAUUUUAAUGCUUAUUUUGGUAGACAAUUGAAAUACAAUUCAAAUAUGCUUGAACACUUGGGUGAUUAUAUGGCUAAUGUCAAAGGUGAACUUAAACUUAUUAGUAAACAUGCUUCUAUGGUUACCACUCAAGUAGAACAAGUACUUAAAGCUCAAAAUGAUUUGCUCAAUGAAUUGAAUAGUAAAGAUAAUGAUAAUGUUGUUAGAGUGGCUACUAGAACUGGUAGAAUGACUCAGGAAGCUUUGUAUCCUGAAGGCCACCCUAAGAGAAUUGAGCAAGAUUCUUAGAGAAAUAAUAUAGAUGUGUUGGAGAUAUGCCCUAGAGGCAAUCAUGUAUGAUGAUAUUUCCUAUGUGUUUAUGAAUAAAGAUAGUCCUUGGACAUUAUCAAUGAUGUGUAUCAGCAAGUACGUGACUUGUUUGUGGGACUAUGCAUUGUAUGAUGACUGUCCUAAAAGGUCCCUAGUCGAAAGGGCUGUGUGGACGCGCAGCCAACUAGACUAGCAUAUGACACGGUUGAUGGCUUGGUAUCACUAGCCAUGGAGCAUUGGAUGCUAACCGGAUAAUAUGGACUUGGAAGGAUCUGGUUGGAUUCGACGUAGUCGGAUCCGAGUCGAGAUAAGGUCCAAGUCGGACAGACCCAACUAUGAGACGCAGCGAUAUGUCAUCUGUGAGUCUCUAGUACAACUUAUGUUCUAUGUCCUAAGACCUGAGCUGACGCAUGUACUCAGGAUGGUGACAGACUUGCUUUGGUUCGACCAAACGCUACUCCGUAACUGGGUAGUUAUAAAGGUAGGUUUCGGGUUUGUCCAGAACCAUGCUGCGAGACGUGGUCGAGCAAGAUGGGAUUUGCCCCUCCGAUCAGGAGAGAUAUACUCUGGGCCCCUCGUGUGAUCCGACCAGGAUAAGCAUGGCCAUGCAACAAGGAUUAUGAGAUAAUCCGGUUUGUGGUCGGCAUCACUGGAACGAGAAAGAGGUCGGGCUAGCACAAGGAUGACAGACUCGCCUUGAGCUCGACAACAUAUAUCGUGUGGCAAAAGGAAUGGAAGUGUGAUGUACAGGUUCGCUAACCAGCUUCAUAGUCUGCUUGGUGUUCGGCAUGCCUUGCUAGAGGCCGCUACCAACCGUGCAGUUUGGAGGUGAUCCGAACUGCGACCAAGCCGACUUGAACCUAAGGGGUCACGCGCUUAAGGGAAGGAACCUACGAGGUCGGAUCAAAGGACACUGGUCGGAUGUGAUCCGAACUGUAUUCCGAUUGUGGCCGAGUAGACUUAUGGGCUUUAGGGUCCGUGCGAGGCCCAAGUGUUGAGCCCGUGACGAACGCCUAUAUAUAUAGUGGAGGUGCGGCACACUCAGUAGUUGAUCGCUUCGGCGCUGUCACUAGGGUUUGCAUGUGUUGCGAAUAGACACCUCCACUCGCUGCCGGUUGUGUGAUCGGACCUAGCAGUCCGCCGCACGAUGUUCCUCCUGCACGCGCGGAUACCGUUAGAGGCGGUGCACUUGCGCCCCCCGGCGAACCUGUACGUGGCAACCGACCACCGGCUCUGCGAGGGAGAUCGGACGAGGAGGAGACGAUCCACGCGGACGCUCUGCCCCAACUCUUCUUCCGCUGCACGGCACUGCGCGUCUAGUGGUAAUGAACUGUGAUCCAUCUCCCGUAGCACGUUCUUGGUUGUUAUGCGCGUAAGAAAUUUUAAUUUACAGUCGACGCGCCCUACCGUAGAUCCCAACAAGAUGCACCUAGUUCUUCUAAAAAGAAGAAAAAGAAAAAUGAUAGGACUUUGCAUGCUUCUAGUGAUCCUAUUGUUGAAACACCUGAGAAUCCAAAUGAUAUUUCUAUUUCUGAUGAUGAAACACAAUCUGGUAAUGAACCUGAAACUAGUGGUAAUAUUAAUGAUAAUGUUCAUGAUGAUGCUCAACCUAGUAAUGAUAAUGAUAUAGAAACUAAACCUGCUGUUGAUCUUGAUAACCCACAAUCAAAGAAUCAACGUUAUGAUAGGAAAGAUUUUGUUGCUAGGAAACAUGGUAAAGAAAGAGAGCCUUGGGUUUAGAAACCCAUGCCUUUUCCUCCCAAACCAUCCAAGAAAAAGGAUGAUGAGGAUUUUGAGCGCUUUGCUGAAAUGAUUAGACCUAUCUUUUUGCGUAUGCGAUUAACCGAUAUGCUCAAAACCAAUUCUUAUGCUAAGUACAUGAAAGAUAUUAUUACAAAUAAAAGAAAGAUACCGGAACCUAAAAUUUCCACCAUGCUUGCUAAUUAUACUUUUAAGGGUGGAAUACCAAAGAAACUUGGAGAUCCAGGAGUACCCACUAUACCAUGCUCCAUUAAAAGAAAUUAUGUUAAAACUGCUUUAUGUGAUCUUGGAGCCGGUGUUAGUGUUAUGCCUCUCUCUUUAUAUCGUAGACUUGACUUGAAUAAGUUGACACCUACUGAAAUAUCUUUGCAAAUGGCUGGUAAAUCAACUGCUAUACCUGUCGGUAUUUGUGAGGAUGUGCCUCUUGUAGUUGCAAACGUUACUAUUUUAACGGACUUUGUUAUUCUUGAUAUUCCCGAGGACGAUAGUAUGUCUAUUAUUCUUGGAAGACCCUUUUUGAAUACUGCAGGGGCUGUUAUUGAUUGCACUAAUGGCAAUGUCACUUUUCAUGUUAAUGGUAAUGAGCAUAUGGUACACUUUCCGAGGUAACAAUCUCAAGUUCAUAGUAUCAACUCCAUUGGAAAAAUUCCAUCGAUUAUAUUUGGAGGUUUUGAAUUUCCUCUUCCUACUGUCAAGAAGAAAUAUGAUAUUCUUAUUAUUGGGGAUGUGCAUAUCCCCGUUGAGGUAACAUAGUGUUAUUCAAAAUUUCUCCGGUUACAUGUUAUUCGGAAUGAGUUCGUUAACAAGACUUGAUCAACCUUGUUAGAGGAUUCCUUUUGAUAAUCAUGAGAUGGAUGAAACUAGAAGGCACAACCUUCUGUACCCUCCUUUUACUUUCUGUUAUUUAUAUUAGAUAAAAUGAAAAUAAAUAUUUUUCUGUCUGUUAUCUGAUUAUCCAUGCAAUAUAAAAAUACCUUAAAAAUAAAA
rnacentral:lncRNA from 1 species